rnacentral:rRNA from 1 species
AGUGAACGCUGGCGGUAGGCCUAACACACGCAAGUCGAACGGCAGCACAGUAAGAGCUUGCUCUUACGGGUGGCGAGUGGCGGACGGGUGAGGAAUACAUCGGAAUCUACUUUUUCGUGGGGGAUAACGUAGGGAAACUUACGCUAAUACCGCAUACGACCUACGGGUGAAAGCAGGGGAUCUUCGGACCUUGCGCGAUUGAAUGAGCCGAUGUCGGAUUAGCUAGUUGGCGGGGUAAAGGCCCACCAAGGCGACGAUCCGUAGCUGGUCUGAGAGGAUGAUCGGCCACACUGGAACUGAGACACGGUCCAGACUCCUACGGGAGGCAGCAGUGGGGAAUAUUGGACAAUGGGCGCAAGCCUAAUCCAGCCAGACCGCGUGGGUGAAGAAGGCCUUCGGGUUGUAAAGCCCUUUUGUUGGGAAAGAAAAGCAGCAGGUUAAUACCCCGCUGUUCUGACGGUACCCAAAGAAUAAGCACCGGCUAACUUCGUG